AAAAAGACAAACCCUAGGUUUCCGUGUCCAACUUUGACUGUCCGUCUUAUAUGAAAUUUUUUUAUAAUUCGUAUUUUCAUUGUUGUUAGAUGAUAAAACAUGAUUAAUAUUUUAUGCGUGACUUGUCUUUUUAAUUUUUUUCAUAAUUUUUUCAAAUAAAACGGAGGGUCAAACGUUAAACAUGGAAACUAGGGUUUGUCUUUUU
rfam:Oryza sativa (indica cultivar-group) chromosome 1, whole genome shotgun sequence.